AGCGGCGCUGGAACAGGUCGCAGUAGAUCGCCGCCAGCUCGGGGCUGCUGAAAUCACUGACCGGGCGUACAACUCCGCCCGCCUCUUCCA
rnacentral:tRNA from 1 species